rnacentral:lncRNA from 1 species
GGACGAGGGCCAAUAUACUGAGUUUGAACCCUGGAAAAAAUGGUGGCACUGUUGAUGGAUGUUCCCUUAUCUGGGUGAUGGGCCAAGUUGCCUGUUCUGGAUGGGGUUGGACUCCCUUUGAAAGAACAAGUUCAUAGUUUAAGGUUGGUCCUGGAUCAUCUUUGUCACUGGAGGCUGAGAUAGUUUCAGUGGCUAGGAGUGCCCUUUACCAACUAUGGCUGGUACACCAACUGCAGCCAUUCUUGGACAGGGGUAGCCUGGCCACAGUGAUUCAUGCAUUCAUAGAAUCAUAGAAUUGGAAGGAACCUCAUGGGUUAUCUAGUCCAAUGCUCUGCAAUGCAGGAAUCUCAACUAAAUCAUCCAUGACAGAUGACCAUCCAACCUGUGCUCAGAAACCUCCAGUGAAGAGAGCCCACCAACUCCUGAGGAAGCUUGUUCAACUGUCUUACUUUAUUGGUAACUUCAAGUCUUGUUUACUGCGAUGAGUUUGGUCUGGAAGCUGCAACUGCUGCAAAAGGCCAAGGAUAAAGCAUAAGUUACUUACAGAUAUAAAAGAAAGAGGCGGUUUUGCCCUCCCAGACCUCAAAAUGCCACGCUUAGACGAUUGGUGGAAACAGACUACCACCAUAAUAUAACUCUGAUGCUAGAAGACUUGUACUGGUUGCCUAUAUGCUACCAGCACAAAUUCAAUAUAUUUUUUAUUCAUUUACCAGGCCCUUAGCAACUUGGGUCCAGGAAAUCUUAGGGGACCACCUGAUUCCGUACGUCCCUGCUAAAUCACUGAGGUCUUGGGAGAAGUCUGUUAAUGAUCCCCCAUGGCUUGGACACACAGCUCACACCCACAAGCAGUUGUAUAUUUAGUAUUAUGGGCCCAAUUUUAUAGAACUCCCUCCCAGCUAAGAUUCAACAUGUGCCUUCCCGGUGAACUUCUGGCACUUGGUGAAGACCUUUUUAUUUCAGCUGCCAUUUAAAGUUAGCGCUUUGGUUUUAUUAUUCAUUUUAGCUGGUUUUAUCUGUGUUGUUUCUUUUAUAACCUCACUAUGCACUGCCUAGAGACUACGGGGUUAAGAGGUAUAUGCAAUGUUGAAAUAAAUAAUAAGUAAAUAAAAAGAAGUGUGUGCAGACAGAACAAAUAAGUGACUCCCACUCUGUGCACAAAAGUUCCUUUUGCUGUACCCUGAGCCAAGAUCUUAGGCUGUACCAAAAGCUCUACCCUAAGCAAAUAGGUAACUCUCCUAUAAAUAAAAUAUAAAGUAUUAAGGAUGCAACACAUUUUAAAAUUUAUCUUUUGUUAGUAUAGUUGCUUCCAUCUCCCUUGUGCAUUCUUCCUCUUUUUAUUGGAAACAUAAAAUACAUUUAAAACCAUAAGGUAUUUGUGACUGGCACAUGAUUGGAGCUGUUGUAUAAUGUACAUACAUUUUCUGCCAGAUGCAAUUUCCAUUCUUGCUCAACAGCUUGGUUAAGGUCAAUAGAAAAAUCUCUUUCGGCUUCAUUCAUAAAGGAUCCCUUUCCAGAGGGAUUUGACAAGGACAGGAGCAAGCUCUGCCAUAUUAUCAUUGCUGCAGAGCUCAGGCGUAUCUCAGACUCACAAUUUUACCGUUCUCAUAAAUAUCAGUAGCAUGAGGCGUUAGGGAAGCAGAAGUUUUGUUUAAAAGUUUAGUGCUGAACAUGUGUGAGGGAAAUGAGGGCUGUGUAUACCCCUAAUGGCUUGGUCCCACUGUCCCCCGUGCAUUGGAGGGUGAAGGUGUACAGCAAGGAGCCUGAUUUGGGUAUGUGGGCUCUACAUGCCAUUUAGAACCCAAGUCAUGCAAAGCUCUAAAUAGUGCGGGGAGCCUAUCUAGGAACAUAGGAAACUGGCUUACACUGAGUCAGACCAUUGGUCUUCUAGCUCUGCAUUGUCUUCCAGACGUUGUUGGACUCCAACUCCCAUCAGCUCCAGGCAGGAAGACCAAUGUUCAAGGGUGCCUGGGAAUUGUAGUCCAACAACAACUGAAUGGCCACAUGUUCCCCAGCCCAGCUCUAAGCAUCAGGAGAGCGGAUUAGAGAUCUCCUGUCUAGCAUGGAGUUAGAUCAUGAGUGUGUUGAAAAAUGGGCAGUGGGGACAAAGAGAAAGGAAUAAAUCAAAAGCACAUAGUCUCUUCUUGACUGUCAGCAGGACCUAAGUAUCGAUCAGAAGUUGAAGGGGAACAUUGUGUCCCCCCAUGUUCCAGACUGCAACGUGAGAAUUAGCUUGAUGGGAAGGAUGAAUAAAGGAAGGAUAUUGCCACACUUCCCAAAGCAGUUCUUGUGAUCAGUAUAUAAAAUUUACCCAUUUUGCAACUCUUAGGACAGGGGUCAGCAACCUUUUUCAGCCAUGGGCUGGUCCACCAUCCCUCAGACCAUGUGGGGGGCCAGACUAUAUUUUGAAAAAAUAAUAAUGAGUGAAUUCCUAUGCCGCACAAAUAACCCAGAGAUGCAUUUUAAAUAAAAGCCCACAUCCUGCUCAUGUAAAAACACCAGGCACGCCCCACAAAUAACCCAGAGAUGCAUUUUAAAUAAAUAAUGCAUUCUACUCAUGUAAAAACAUGCUGAUUCCCGGACCACCUGCGGGCUGGAUUGAGAAGGCGAUUGGGCCGCAUCCGGUCCCUGGGCCUUAGUUUGCCUACCCCUGUCUUAGGAGUUAUCAAAUGGUCAUGGUACCCAAGUCAUCACCCACAACAUUUUACAAUCAUUCAUUUGUGAUGAGGGCACACAAGCAAUGUACUAAAUAAGAGCAUGUAUAGAUUGAUGUGGGCAAGUGAAACAUGGAUAAUAUUAUUGAAGGAAAAUGUAGUUCAGCUAAGCAUCUGAGACGGUAUUAUGUACAUUUGUGAGUUAAACACAGUACUUCUGAGAGCAUAGUAUGUUCUUUUCAGCUUUGAACAACAGCUUUAUAGCUAGCUAUGUGGGAGAAAAGCUGGCAGGCAGAGAUGUAAUGGUACUAUUCAUUUGUUUCUAGUAUAAUAGGAUCUGAAACCACACCUAAAAGAGUAGAUUUUAACUACAGUUGAUGUAAAAAGGAAAAGGAAAAAGCCUGUGAUUCAGUUUGCCCAGAACCAAGGAUGGAAAUCCCAUGGCUCUCCAUAUGUUGCUGGACUCCAACUUCCAUCAGCCCUGGCUGGCCUGGCCAUCGGUCAAGGAUGAUGGGAGCUGUACUCCAACAACAAUAACAACUAGGGAGCCACAGGUUCCCCACCUCAGCUUGUGACAUAUAUCAAUAGGUAACAUGUUUCCUCACAACAUUAUCGAACACACACAUAUACCCCCCUCCCCACAACCACUCAGUAAAUAUUUGGAAUUCAGAUUAUAAUUAAAAGUAAAUUGUUGUUUCAUUUUCAUUAUGGGUGUUAUCUUUAGUAGCUCUAAAAUCAAUUCCUUGUCUGUGUAAUAAUCUCUCAACAGAAACCCAAACGAAUAUUUGAGAUGUGCAGGAACCCACUGAAGAAAUGUUCAUGUUCUGAAACUUUUUCUUCUUUUUUUUGCUCCCCUUGAAACUCCUCAGAUGUUUCACCUCAGGAAGAAUCGCCACCUCCCCAAAUUUGCUUUAGGCAUACAUCUGUUGUCAACUCUGAUGCUGAUAAAAGAGCAGUUUUGUUGUGUAUGUGUAGGAGGAACCCGUAGACAUUUACAAAUCUUACAUAAGUUUCCCGUUUCCUAUCACACUGCAAGUGUCCAAAAGAGAGAAUGUGUUGAUGAAAUGUUGACAAAGGAUAUAAUACAACUCCUGGUGCUAGGAAUAAUGGCACUGCUUAAGUCUCCUACUGGGUACAGGAGUCUGAGAAUGUGUUGUUGGCCUAACUUGCUUUAUUGAGUGAAACUGUGAAUGGAAUUGGUAACAUCUUAUUUUUAUUACCUUGGCAUUUCUCACUGUAUGCUUCCUCCCUCACCCUCCCAGAUAAGAGGCAAAGGAACUUUGAUUUUCUUUCUUCAAGAAACCUUCCUUUUUGUGUCAAAGCGAGAAACAGAAAAGUGCUCUGAGUAAAAUAAUAAUAAAUAAUUGUACUGCAAACCUCAAACCACUUAAGUCUUUCAAUGGGGCAAUUCCCGAAUAAAUGAUCUG